rnacentral:rRNA from 1 species
GAUGAACGCUGGCGGCGUGCCUAAUACAUGCAAGUCGAGCGAACGGACGAGAAGCUUGCUUUUCUGAUGUUAGCGGCGGACGGGUGAGUAACACGUGGAUAACCUACCUAUAAGACUGGGAUAACUUCGGGAAACCGGAGCUAAUACCGGAUAAUAUUUUGAACCGCAUGGUUCAAAAGUGAAAGACGGUCUUGCUGUCACUUAUAGAUGGAUCCGCGCUGCAUUAGCUAGUUGGUAAGGUAAAGGCUUACCAAGGCAACGAUGCAUAGCCGACCUGAGAGGGUGAUCGGCCACACUGGAACUGAGACACGGUCCAGACUCCUACGGGAGGCAGCAGUAGGGAAUCUUCCGCAAUGGGCGAAAGCCUGACGGAGCAACGCCGCGUGAGUGAUGAAGGUCUUCGGAUCGUAAAACUCUGUUAUUAGGGAAGAACAUAUGUGUAAGUAACUGUGCACAUCUUGACGGUACCUAAUCAGAAAGCCACGGCUAACUACGUG